UUCGUUAAAACUCCUUACAUGUUGUUAUUUGAUUUUCCAACGAGAAAAUAAAGCAUCCAAUUGAGAAAAUAAAGUUGUUUGAAAACCGCGAAGAGGGUGCAUUAAGGGAUUGCCACAAGCGUGGGCCGAUAAAACCCCUUACGGGUAACCAUGACCUUUUCGCGGUAUAUCCCAUGGAUACCGCGUCUGUUCCUUUUUACUUUUUUCCCUCUCAAGCUAGCAAACUAUUUCCUCGCGCCGUUUAUUCCGAAUCAGAUCCCGGAUCCGCUCGUAUGACGUCGCUUCCGUUCCCCCGGGGAUUAGGACGUUUCGCCUCCUUUUCGCCUUAUUCGCGCGUUCCCGCAAGAGGGUGGAUUCCGUCUCGGAUCUUCCUCGGGGCGGAAAAAUAGGGUAGGUUAUCGAGAAUUUUCCGCUGUUUUCCACGCGUUUCGGAAGGAUGUCGAUUUUCUGAAAACCAUUGUGAAUAUCAUCCAUGGAGAGGAAGCGAUCGAUAACGAAUUUUUUCAUAAUUUGAUGACUAUUUAAUUCAUUUCUCCCUCGUUUCAUUUCUCAGCUUUCUUCCAAGGAUACAAUAUCAUCCAAAGUAAUUAAAACGAAAUAAUCCGUUGGAAAUUCCGUCAUCCGGUUUUAAUCGCGUGGGCGUUCGCGUUCCAGCCUCGUUCCGACAGUUUCGGAAUGUCUCGGCGAGCGGUUCGCGGGCGACGCGACGGAAUCGCAAAUUCCUCGUAGGUGCGGGAACCACGGCAUUUUGGCGGGCAUUGUCGCUCGUCGUUGCCGUCGUCUUCGUCGUCUUCCUCGUCGUCGCAUUAACUCGCGCGGCCACGGCAUCGUUAGCGGCAUACCUUAUCGUUUGGAACUGCACGGCCCAGGCGGUUUGGAAUGCGCAAACACGAGUCCGUGUUACUUCCAGGGUGAUUCCCGCGGACCCCUUCGUAUAUGUUAGAGGAGCAGGAAUGGCUGUCGUUUAAGGCGAGUUUACACGAGGAGAUUGACUAUGGGGGAACGCGUGAAUCAUCCGUCGUUUGGACAGUUUGAUUCGGAAAGUGAUUCUGGUGAUAUGCAUAAGUUAAUGAAUAAUUUAAAGAUAUGAGUGAUAAUUUUCUGUGAAUGUGAUUUCAGGGCUGAAAAACUUGAAGAUUGAAGAUUUAAGAUCAGUAAUUUUUCAAUUAUAAUUUGCAAUUUUUAGAAAUAAUUUCCCAUGGACGUGAUUUCAGGGUUGCAGAGGUUGAAAUUGAAAAAUUUAAGGGUUUAAGAUUUAAGGACGAGGAGAAACACGAAAUGUCAGCAGAUAGCCCGACAAGCGGUGCGGCGAAUUUUAUAAUGCCUCUUGAGAGCAUACCAUCAGCGGGAAAGGAGAAAAAAAGAGGAUGAAAAUGAAGGAAAAUAUUAACGCGUUGAACGUGCUGAAGAGAAUGAAGUUACGACCUUGGGUAAGGUCGAAUUGCCCUGCAACGGACGAAACAUUUCCGUCCGAGCGUGUAAAGCGGCCUUUAGGCAGAAGCUGGGUUCUAUCGCAGUUCGCGAAUUCCGUCCUGUCAUUUGUAACUGUCGGGCUGCUCAUUACAAUUCCCCAUUCCUCGUCUCUCCUCUCUCUGAACUAACCCCUCCCGCUCAACUCCAACCCCUCUACGUCUCGUUCCUGCUACGAGGGCAACGAAGGGUUCUGGAGUUUCUGCUUUCUCUCUUCGUCUCUUCCUCUCCGCUCUUCCGCUUCGCGUUUAUGCGCAAACGCAACCUAUUUUACCCCCGUUACUUCUUCGUUACAAGGAAGAACAAGAACGAGAUAAUGUCUAUCAUCAGGGAAUAAGGAAUUUUACUUUGAAAUUGUAGAAAAAGAAAUAAAACAAGUGAAAAAGAAGGACAUCUAAACCGUCGAUAGGGUAAUCAACUUGGUUUGUCGAUGAGCCUAUUUGUAAAGGGGCGAGGGUGCAGAGUAAGAGGACAUUACCAGGUUCGAUACAGCAGUGAACGUGACGAAUAAUGUUUGAAGUGACAGAACAAGUGACUUUCAACCCCUUGCAGUCCGGUGGCAAGACGAACAUCCAUUUGGUAACGGAUGACAAGUGGCACGGUAUGCCCAUGCAGCAGUAUUCUCUCACGAAGGACAGCGCAAACAUUCUCGAUUUACACGUUAGCCAUUCCAUUUGGCUCGAAUCGGUUGGAAGCCAUUAAUAUUGGCCAGCGUGAAAGCAACUCGGGCUUCUGGCUCGCCAGUAAAGACAGCCAACCCUUUGCUCUCGAUUCCGUGAAACCGUCUAAGGGGGUAAACGUUUCUCCGACCUCUUUCAAUCCGUUCGUUCUCUUCUAUCAUCCAUCCUGAACACCCUCGAAAUCAAUAAAUACAUAUUUGUUCGACACACAUCAAUGACACUAAUACCAUUAAUCCAGAGCUGACGCAGCAAGCGUAUAGAGGCGGAUCGUGUUCGUCGACGAAAGAAGCCGCAAAGGGUGGAAGAUAGAGGAGGUAGGAACAAGAUAAAGUCACUAAUCCUUAACAUCACUGUAUCCCUUAUAUCACUACAUUCCCUAUAUUCCUGCAUCUCGUAUAUGCAGGUAUU